rnacentral:lncRNA from 1 species
AUGAUACUGAAGCUACUCAGCUUUAUUGGAUGUCUGCCCAGACAUCCACUAAUAGAUAGCAUGGUCCAAGUUGUGAAUUUGGUGCUGGAGUUCCAAAGCAACAAAUUCAGAAAACAAAGCAUUGUCUGGAAGAAUUUCUGGAAUAAUUUAAGGAAUUGUUCAGAAUUAUGGUGUGUAUGUGCGUGCAUGUGUAUGUGUGUGUUUGUACAUGCAUUACUAUAUUUAUUGGGUGAGUUAGAAAGAAAGAGAGAGAUAGCACACAAGAUAGAAGAGCAAUACUAUCACAGGCUUAUAUGUAUCUCAGGAUGCAUAAGCUGGAGAAUAUCCAGAUACUUGGUGUCACUAUAGAAUUUAAAGGUUGUAGCUCCUGAAUGUUAAAUUAUUUCUAAUAAAUGUGUACUUUCUUAAGAAGAGGCCAGAAUGCAUGGCUCUUCAGAUACCCAUACACUUACAUAUUGCUGUGCUGUUUAGGUAUUUACAAACAUUCUUUUAUAAUAAUUAACACUGCAAUUUAUUUUAUAAAUGAAUAUUACUGUUUCCAGUUCACCCCUGCACAUGAGGAAGUAUAGAGAAAUGUGCCCUUUGAAACAAGGGAAGUAAACUGAUUCUCUGUUCAAACUGGGCAUAAGCCCAAUUUGAACAGAGAUGCACUCAGCUGGGGAUGGCAGCUUUCAUGGUCUCUCACUAACACAGACCCCUCAGUGGCUUUUCACAGCCACUUAGAAUCAAGACCCCGGAGGUUCAGAGUGGAGGUUGCAGCUGUGGACACUGAGGAACAUGUAUGUGGUCCUGGAUGCGUUCUCAUAGACCUCUUUCUGAUUUUCAUUCUGCUUAUGUUUUGUGCUGGAGGUUGGAGUGCACAAGUAGGGGAGGGGCUUUCCUCCUGUCCAGUUUUCCCCUCUUCCUUUGUAAACCCUGAGAGAGAGAUAAAACUUUGGGACAUUGCUCAGGUAUGCCCUGAAAACCACAGAUCAGAGAUUGGGCUCAGUGACAUCUUUGUAGUUUAAAAAACGCAGAACUGAACACACUAGUCCCUCUCAUAAGUUUAAUGGUCCAGCAAAGACAAAUGAAUCAACAGAACAGAAAUAGUAAGAAGGCCAGGUUUGAUCUUUAUAUUUAAGUUUGUGCUGAAUAUUUCGAAGUGAUGUGAAAAUCAGUCCAUGUCCAAGUUUUCCCUGCUGAAGGACUUCACCAGGGAAAAAAAAAAGGUGUGUGUUAUGAUACCAAGAGAAUCCUGGAAGGGUGGGACAUAGAACAUAUGGAAGAAAUGGAAAAGUUCCAGCAGGAUGUCCUUACAUAGAAAUGAGCUCUUAGAUAAAGAAGACUUAUGAAAAAGAAAUGUAAGCUAUUUCUGGGUCCAUGGUGUUCAAAGCCCAGCAGAAAUCUCCAUUUACUCUCACAAGCUAUAACAGAUUAGGUUAUUACAAUUCCUUCGUUUUCUUCAUUUUUUCCUAUAUGCUUCAAAUUAAUUGUAGAAGAGCAAUUAAGUAUUCUCACCAAUGAGGGGGCUAAAAGGCCUUGAUAUAACUAAAAGCAUCUUAGGUUUCAGUAAUAUCAGCUAGUGAAUUGGAGUAUUGACUGGUUUGGCAAUAUAAAUGCAUAAUCUCUAUUUUUAAUUGAACUCUCUCUCCUUUCUUGCCAGUUUCUUUUCCAUUAAAUGUUGAUCCCUGGAACUUCAUAUUUUAAAAUUAUAUCCAAUAAAAGAAACAUCUUGGACCUUAAUGAAAGUAUAUUCUUAGAAAUAUUAUAUAACAUAGAUUGCUGUUAUAAAAUGUCAGGGCUCAAAAGUGAGAGAAUGCAUUUGCUCCAGAGAAGCCUAGUUAAUUAAGCACAUUUUUAAAUGUUCAAUUUAACAUACGUCUGUUAGCAUAUUGCUUGCCUACAAUAUGUAGACAUUUUCCUAAGCACUUUGAGGACAGACAUUUUAGCCAGUUCUUAACGCAAUAUCCAAGUUUUGUAGAAGUUGAGAUAUCUCCUACACAUAUGUACUGCAAUCUGGUUUGAACUUUCUGCCAUGAUGGGGCACAUACAGUGGAAGAUAGGUGGAGGGUGAGAUAAACUGAGGCUGACAUUUCAAAGAAUGGCUCAUGGGAGACGUGGGAGUUGNNNNNNNNNNNNNNNNNNNNNNNNNNNNNNNNNNNNNNNNNNNNNNNNNNNNNNNNNNNNNNNNNNNNNNNNNNNNNNNNNNNNNNNNNNNNNNNNNNNGGCUGACAUUUCAAAGAAUGGCUCAUGGGAGACGUGGGAGUUGAGGAUAGCAUCAGAAAAUAGUAAAAUAUGCUGUCAGGAGACCAGAGUGCUAGUCAGGAAAAAAUGUUGUGGGAGGAGUGCAGUGUAGACAAAUGAGAUAGCAGAGUGAGGGGCAAAGGGUGGAAAAAGUAGGGUACAUUGUGGUACAGGGAGAGUACUAUCAGAAGAGAGAUAUUUUCAUACCUAAUGCUAGCCAAUAGGCUGAAAAGUGAUAGAAGAGAUAGGUUUAAAUCAGUUGUAUUGCUGACAUGAGUUUGUAAACCAGAAAUAAUCUUCUGACACUAAAGAUUUAUUGAGAGGCAGCAACAGAGUGCAAGAAUAUAAAUGCUUUAAAAAAUGUUUUUGAGAGAAACAUCAUGUAACCUGUCAUUUUUUUUUAAAUUUACAAAACUUAUCAUAAAAUAACUUUGUUCCUUUCAGACAGUAAUGUUUUAAGAGAUGAAAAACAAGGGAAUGGAGAAAGAACAGUUUUAUCAACUAUAUGAAUGUGGCAGAUCUUUAUUUUUUCUCCCCUUCUUCAAAGGAAUCCUUUCUAUCUGGUGACCAUAAAACAUUGUAAAACUGAUCAAUCUACUAAAGUAUCUAUUUUGUACAUGAUCUGGGCAACUACCAGUAAAAUGUAACAUAAUGAAAAUAAUGAGGGAAAGCUAGUCUAACUUUGGGUCUUUUCUUACACUCUGUUUCCUUUUACCUUUUUCUCUUUCCAAAUGAGCAUAACUGCCACUAACCCUGGUGGCUCAGAUGGUAAAGAAUCUACCUGCAAUGUGAAGACCUCAGUUUGAACCCCGGGUUGGGAAGAUUCCCUGAAGGAGGGCAUCACAACACACUCCAGUAUAAUUGCCUGGAGAAUCCCCAUGGACAGAGGAGCCUGGGGGGCUAGAGUCCAUGCAGUUGCAAAGAGCCAGACAGUACUGAGCGACUAAACACAACACAUCCACUAACCCG